rnacentral:rRNA from 1 species
UGGGGAAUAUUGCACAAUGGGCGCAAGCCUGAUGCAGCCAUGCCGCGUGUAUGAAGAAGGCAUUCGGGUUGUAAAGUACUUUCAGCGGGGAGGAAGGUGUUGUGGUUAAUAACCUCAGCAAUUGACGUUACCCGAAGAAGAAGCACCGGCUAACUCCGUGCCAGCAGCCGCGGUAAUACGGAGGGUGCAAGCGUUAAUCGGAAUUACUGGGCGUAAAGCGCAGGCAGGCGGUCUGUCAAGUCGGAUGUGAAAUCCCCGGGCUCAACCUGGGAACUGCAUCCGAAACUGGCAGGCUUGAGUCUUGUAGAGGGGGGUAGAAUUCCAGGUGUAGCGGUGAAAUGCGUAGAGAUCUGGGGGAAUACCGGUGGCGAAGGCGGCCCCCUGGACAAAGACUGACGCUCAGGUGCGAAAGCGUGGGGAGCAAACA